AUGGUUAUUGAUGUGGAAGAAACGAGUGAGAAGAAUGGGGUAAGAAGGCUUGAGGGUGCUGGGCAACGAGGGUUGGUGCAUGAAAUUGAAGAAGAGGAUGGGCGACUAACUGAAAGGCUUAUGAGAGUUACUGACGAUGAUGGGGAUGGCAUCAUAGAGGGUACCCUGAGGAAGGAGGAGUUUCGCAAGUUUGUUGUUAGGUGA